rnacentral:rRNA from 1 species
AUUGAACGCUAGCGGGAUGCCUUACACAUGCAAGUCGAACGGUGCGGGGAACGGGCGAGCAGGGUAGUGGAACGUGCCCAGUAGCGGGGGAUAACUACGUGAAAGUGUAGCAAAAAUCGUAAACCAUUGGACGGGCCGAUAGGGGAUUGGGUAGUUGGUGGGGUGACGGCGCACCAAGGCGACGAACCGUAGCUGGUUUGAGAGGACGGCCAGCCACACUGGGAGUGAUACGCGGCCCAGACUCCUACGGGAGGCAGCAGUGGGGAAUUUUGGACAAUGGGGGAAGCCCUGAUCCAGCCAUGCCGCGUGUGCGAAGAAGGCCUUCGGGUUGUAAAGCACUUUUGGCAGGAAAGCGGUACCUGCAGAAUAAGCACCGGCUAACUCCGUGCCAGCAGCCGCGGUAAUUC